GUCCUUCAGUCGCUACUCAGAUGCUGUUUCCUUGCCCCAGGAUCCAGGUGUCAUCUGUGGAGCGGUUUUUGGCUGUAUCUUUGGUGCCCUGGUUAUUGUGACUGUGGGAGGCUUCAUCUUCUGGAGAAAGAAGAGGAAAGAUGCAAAGAAUAAUGAAGUGUCCUUUUCUCAAAUUAAGUAAGUCUCUCAAAUUAUGAGCUUUAUUUUAAAUCCUCCAAUCUGUUCAGUGACUAUCUGUAAAUAAUUUUUGAUGGAACUUGCUGUCAUUUUUCCUGAUUGGCACAUUUUGACCAUGACCAUCUGGAAGUUUUUGCUAGCUCUGUUUUCUGCAAGGAAUCUAUGUUUUAUUAGUCUCCUGAAGCUGGCUUCCUUGUCAUGUUCUACUCUUCUACCAAUAAAUACGGAUUUCUUGAUUAAAAAAUAGGUUAUCAAGAUCCAGGGGAGAGAAGAACUUACUUAAAGUCACAAAACCAAUUAGUUACAAAGUAGGGUCUAGAAAUCAGAUUUCCUGAAUCAUAUUUUAGUGUUUUGUGAAUAAUAGUACUCU
rnacentral:sRNA from 1 species